CAGCCGCCGCGGUAAUACGAGGGGGGCAAGCGUUGUUCGGAAUUAUUGGGCGUAAAGGGUGCGUAGGCGGUUUGGCAAGUCUCAUGUGAAAUCUUCAGGCUCAACUUGAAGUCUGCAUGGGAAACUGCGGGGCUGGAGUAUGGGAGAGGUGAGUGGAAUUCCUGGUGUAGCGGUGAAAUGCGUGGAUAUCAGGAGGAACACCUGUGGCGAAAGCGGCUCACUGGACCAUAACUGACGCUGAGGCACGAAAGCUAGGGGAGCAAACAGGAUUAGAUACCCCCGUAGUCCCUGUCUCUUAUAC
rnacentral:rRNA from 1 species